UGCAUGUGAGUGUGUGUGUUUAAUCCUCUGAUCACAUAGACUGAUCCUCUUCCUACCCCAGUGACACCUGGGAGAUGAUACGGGUCUGUUCAGAAGCAGGUAUUACAGUGUGAUGUAGCCAGCCAUGCUAAACUUAUGCUAAAUGAUGUAUCCAGUCUGUUACGAUAAGAGCAUAAACCUGUUUUCUUCAGGCCAGGGUGCCUGGCUGGCUAAUUUAAGUCCUGUAUGGUGAGAAAAUCCUGGUUGUCCUCUGGAAGAUGGAUCUACAUUGUAGCACAAUGGAAACCUCUCUCCCAGGAAUCAGCGAGUGCCCCUGUGUCUCAAUUCUUCUGGAAGUGUCUCAUAAGGGUUGUCAACCAAGACAUCUUAGCAAACCCACUGGUGCAGUCAAUCUUCCUUGCUGUACUGCUUCCAACAACGAUGAAGCAAAGAAAACAGACGGAGAGCAGACGUACGGACUCUUCUGGAAAUACUUUUAUUAUAUGAUUAUGUUUUUCCAAAUAACAUACAGAAGCAAGACAAGUUGGCUGCCUAGCAACUACACAGUUCACAAGAGAACUCCUUUGCCUUUGUUAAUAUCUAUCAAAAAAGAGAGCAAGAAAAGAAAGUAGCACUCAGAGACAUUUUUGCUUUAAAUAUACACUUUUGUCUGAGACAAUAAAUAGCAACCAUCAUUGGACAUUGACUGAAUUUAAUAAACAAUGCACACAAAAAAUAAAUGUAUUUACAUAUUUUGUAAUUGUCAAAAGUGUACAGUUGUGCGUGUCAAAUUGACAUCAUGUCUGGAGGAAGAUAGGUCUAUUGUACUGAUAACUCUCUCCGAAUAGUGCAACGUCAUAAUCGAUGGCUGAACAGUAGUUUUUACGUAUUGAUUGUUGAUGAGUGAUUGAUUAUUAUCACUAGGAAAUUGAGUGGCUCAAAGAUGCCCCAUUGUAACUAUUGCAUUGUAAAUCGAAUGACUAAAUGGCAAGAGACACUAAAAAUGUACUAAUGUAAUCUGUCAUUUGUUAAAUGUAAUCACCAUGAUAUUACAAACAAACAAGACAAGAAUGUGACAGAGGAUCACAGAACGGUUUUGUGCGCAUAGAAAUCAGACUAUGAAUUCAAAUAAUCUUAAAACAUGAAAAAUACUUAAGAUCUCAGGUGACUGUACAGUCACACACACACACACACACAAACACACGCACACACACACACUCUCUUCUCUAUCCGACAGGUACCAUGUCCUUCAAUAUUGUUCAAUAAAAGCAUGCAAAACCCUCUAUGGGGAAGACCUGUGUUAACAGAAAUGUAUUUUUAAAAUGUCAAAUUACGCACAAAUAACAAAAGGCAUUCUCUCUCCGACCCUUGCUCUAAAAGGGUGUACAGCUGACUGAUGGGACUAUAACGCACAACACCAAA